CGCCGAAACACGAUUGGUGUCUCUCAGAGGUGGCCUCCUGAGACUGAUGAUGGCAGGCUAUG
rnacentral:hammerhead_ribozyme from 1 species